rnacentral:snoRNA from 1 species
GGGCUGCUGGUGUGGCUCAAGGGGUAGGGCCCCGAGUUCAAGGCCCAGUACCGCAAAAAAAAAAAGGAGGCAAAGUAAAUCUACCCUAUAUACAUCUCAGUCCAGGUCCUGUGGCUGCUCUAUAUUGUGAAUGGGGAGACAUGG